AGAAUAAUAGUUUAAAAAAAAUUUUUAAUUUGCAUUUAAAAGAUAUUUAUAAUUUAUUUUAA
rnacentral:tRNA from 1 species